AACGCACCUUGCGCUCCUUGGUAUUCCGAGGAGCAUGCCUGUUUGAGUGUCAUUAAAUUCUCAACCUUUAUUAACUUUUUGGUUAGUAAGUGGAUUGGAAGUGGGGGCAUGUUGGUUUCUUCAUUGAAAUAAACUCCCCUGAAAUGCAUUAGCUGGUUGCCUUGUGCGAACAUGUCUAUUGGUGUGAUAAUUAUCUACGCCGUGGGCUGUUUGCCGUUUAUAGCACUGCUUAUAAUCGUCUGUUCAUUCAGACAAUAUAUGACAAUUUGACCUCAAAUCAGGUAGGACUACCCGCUGAACUUAA
rnacentral:misc_RNA from 1 species